UACAUAUUUGACUGCACGUACUGAACUAUUUACUGCUCGGGCCAGCACUUGCCAAAUUCUCUCGGCGUUAUCUUCGUUGCUUACGUCGAAUCCUUCCUGAUUUGGUUCAUGCGUGAUCUCGUUCCGAAAGGCCUCGUCCUCAAAUAUUUUUUCUGAUGUUAUUCUCAAAUUUUGAAGCAAUGAGACGAUCUGUGAAUGCGCGUUUUCUGCCAUUGCUUAAGUCUUGCAAUAAUGCACCUGCGCGUCAUGUAUAUAUGCAUUAAACA